CCUCCCCCAUACAUGUAGUGUCCUGCGGUGGAGGUUGAUAUAUAAGAUCCUUCUCUUGAUUGACCCCUCAAGGAUGGAUAGGAACAGGGACAAGAUGGCGGAGAGUAUAAUAAAGCUUACCCUAGAGAUCCUCUUCCGGCUUACUGGAGAGGACUACACAGUAGUGAAGAAGACCUCUAGUGAGCGUUGUCAGGCCCCUGUGUCUG